rnacentral:rRNA from 2 species
UACGGAGGGUGCAAGCGUUAAUCGGAAUUACUGGGCGUAAAGCGUGCGUAGGCGGUUCGUUAAGUCAGAUGUGAAAGCCCCGGGCUUAACCUGGGAACUGCAUUUGAAACUGGCGGACUUGAGUUGAGUAGAGGGGAGUGGAAUUUCAGGUGUAGCGGUGAAAUGCGUAGAUAUCUGAAGGAACACCAGUGGCGAAGGCGACUCCCUGGACUCAAACUGACGCUGAGGUACGAAAGCGUGGGUAGCAAACAGG